rnacentral:rRNA from 1 species
UGGAAGCGUCUGGAAAGGCGCGCGAUACAGGGUGACAGCCCCGUACACAAAAAUGCACAUGCUGUGAGCUCGAUGAGUAGGGCGGGACACGUGGUAUCCUGUCUGAAUAUGGGGGGACCAUCCUCCAAGGCUAAAUACUCCUGACUGACCGAUAGUGAACCAGUACCGUGAGGGAAAGGCGAAAAGAACCCCGGCGAGGGGAGUGAAAAAGAACCUGAAACCGUGUACGUACAAGCAGUGGGAGCACGCUUAGGCGUGUGACUGCGUACCUUUUGUAUAAUGGGUCAGCGACUUAUAUUCUGUAGCAAGGUUAACCGAAUAGGGGAGCCGAAGGGAAACCGAGUCUUAACUGGGCGUUAAGUUGCAGGGUAUAGACCCGAAACCCGGUGAUCUAGCCAUGGGCAGGUUGAAGGUUGGGUAACACUAACUGGAGGACCGAACCGACUAAUGUUGAAAAAUUAGCGGAUGACUUGUGGCUGGGGGUGAAAGGCCAAUCAAACCGGGAGAUAGCUGGUUCUCCCCGAAAGCUAUUUAGGUAGCGCCUCGUGAAUUCAUCUCCGGGGGUAGAGCACUGUUUCGGCAAGGGGGUCAUCCCGACUUACCAACCCGAUGCAAACUGCGAAUACCGGAGAAUGUUAUCACGGGAGACACACGGCGGGUGCUAACGUCCGUCGUGAAGAGGGAAACAACCCAGACCGCCAGCUAAGGUCCCAAAGUCAUGGUUAAGUGGGAAACGAUGUGGGAAGGCCCAGACAGCCAGGAUGUUGGCUUAGAAGCAGCCAUCAUUUAAAGAAAGCGUAAUAGCUCACUGGUCGAGUCGGCCUGCGCGGAAGAUGUAACGGGGCUAAACCAUGCAC